GACACAGGGACAGCUCUGGGGUGUCUGGGACAGGGGGAACAGGAUUUCUGUGGGACACAGGGACAGGUUUGGGGUGUCUGGGACAGGGGGAACAGGAUUUCUGUGGGACACAGGGACAGGUUUGGGGUGUGUGGGACAGGGGGAACAGGAUUUCUGUGGGACACAGGGACAGCUCUGGGGUGUCUGUGGGACAGGGGGACAGAUCUGGGGUGUCU